AUACGGAGGAUGCGAGCGUUAUCCGGAUUUAUUGGGUUUAAAGGGUGCGCAGGCGGGCGAUUAAGUCAGCGGUGAAAGGCUCGGGCUCAACCGGAGCAGUGCCGUUGAUACUGGUUGUCUUGAAUGCGGUCAAGGCCGGCGGAAUGUGGCGUGUAGCGGUGAAAUGCGUAGAUAUGCCACAGAACACCGAUAGCGAAGGCAGCUGGCCGGGCCUGCAUUGACGCUCAGGCACGAAAGCGUGGGGAUCGAACAGGAUUAGAUACCCUGGUAGUCCACGCUGUAAACGGUGGACACUCGUUGUCGGCGACAGACAGUCGGCGGCCAAGCGAAAGUGAUAAGUGUCCCACCUGGGGAGUACGGUCGCAAGGCUGAAACUUAAAGGAAUUGACGGGG
rnacentral:rRNA from 1 species